rnacentral:rRNA from 1 species
GACGAACGCUGGCGGCGUGCUUAACACAUGCAAGUCGAACGGAAAGGCCCUGCUGUUGUGGGGUGCUCGAGUGGCGAACGGGUGAGUAACACGUGAGUAACCUGCCCUUGACUUUGGGAUAACUUCAGGAAACUGGGGCUAAUACCGGAUAGGAGCUCCUGCUGCAUGGUGGGGGUUGGAAAGUUUCGGCGGUUGGGGAUGGACUCGCGGCUUAUCAGCUUGUUGGUGGGGUAGUGGCUUACCAAGGCUUUGACGGGUAGCCGGCCUGAGAGGGUGACCGGCCACAUUGGGACUGAGAUACGGCCCAGACUCCUACGGGAGGCAGCAGUGGGGAAUAUUGCACAAUGGGCGGACGCCUGAUGCAGCAACGCCGCGUGCGGGAUGACGGCCUUCGGGUUGUAAACCGCUUUCGCCUGUGACGAAGCGUGAGUGACGGUAAUGUGUAAAGAAGCACCGGCUAACUACGUG